GUUUAAAGAAAAUAAACAACUUUUAUUUGUAUAUUACGUUUAGCCAAGCACGAUCGCACGACUGCUCACGAUAAUGCCAAUUUGCCAAAUGUCUGCUAGCAGACGACGUAAGAGUCACCAUCAUGGCCGCCAUUGAUUUUUUUAAAUUUCCUAGAAGCUUAUAACUACGGGGUUUACCCAAAUCACAAAUAAUACUGGCUGAAAUAGGAAAGCCUGAAGUAGCAAUCAAAACGCACAUUUGUAAUGUUUGGCAUUUAACAAUAAAUUCAAUUUGUAUUUCAAUCUGUAUAUAAAGAGCUUAUUAAAUAGGUUUCUUUUUUUUUUUCAUAAAAGGCCAAGACUUCUCUAAGACUAUGGAAUCACAAACAAACGUUAUACUUGGAUCCUUUGUUGGAU